AUUGAACGCUGGCGGCAUGCCUUACACAUGCAAGUCGAACGGCAGCACGGGAGCAAUCCUGGUGGCGAGUGGCGAACGGGUGAGUAAUAUAUCGGAACGUGCCCAGUCGUGGGGAUAACGUAGCGAAAGCUACGCUAAUACCGCAUACGAUCUAUGGAUGAAAGCGGGGGAUCGCAAGACCUCGCGCGAUUGGAGCGGCCGAUAUCAGAUUAGGUAGUUGGUGAGGUAAAGGCUCACCAAGCCGACGAUCUGUAGCUGGUCUGAGAGGACGACCAGCCACACUGGGACUGAGACACGGCCCAGACUCCUACGGGAGGCAGCAGUGGGGAAUUUUGGACAAUGGGCGCAAGCCUGAUCCAGCCAUGCCGCGUGUGUGAAGAAGGUCUUCGGAUUGUAAAGCACUUUAAGUUGGGAGGAAGGGUAGUAACCUAAUACGUUGCUACUUUGACGUUACCGACAGAAUAAGCACCGGCUAACUUCGUG
rnacentral:rRNA from 1 species